CCUACGGGAGGCUGCAGUGGGGAAUAUUGGGCAAUGGGCGCAAGCCUGACCCAGCAACGCCGCGUGAAGGAAGAAGGCUUUCGGGUUGUAAACUUCUUUUAAGAGGGAAGAGCAGAAGACGGUACCUCUUGAAUAAGCCACGGCUAACUACGUGCCAGCAGCCGCGGUAAUACGUAGGUGGCAAGCGUUGUCCGGAUUUACUGGGUGUAAAGGGCGUGUAGCCGGGCUGACAAGUCAGAUGUGAAAUUCCGGGGGUCAACCCCGGACCUGCAUUUGAAACUGUUGGUCUUGAGUAUCGGAGAGGCAGGCGGAAGUCCGAGUGGAGCGGUGAGAUGCGUAGAUAGUGGGAGGAACACCAGUGGCGAAGGCGGCCUGCGGGACGACAACUGGCGGUGAUGCGCGAAAGCGUGGGGAGCAAACAGGAUUAGAUACCCGAGUAGUC
rnacentral:rRNA from 1 species